rnacentral:lncRNA from 1 species
AGGCUUUUCAAAAAAGAAAAAGAUUUUUUUUAAAAAAAAAUUAAUAAAGUGCUCCUAGAAGCACAUUAAACUAGCAACACUCAAUUUCAUGUUUACUGUCAAGGCGAGACGUUUCAUUCACAUCUCAAAUCUGGGUGACACACGCCUCAAGUUUAGGUGACAUGUCAUCUAAGUGUGCUUCUUAGAAUACUGCACGACGAACAUCAUUAUAGAAUAUCUAAUUUCUUGCUAUGUAAUCAAUAAAUGGUUGAUUAAGCCCCAACACUGCAGCGACAAAGGUAAACUGGGCUGAAGCCAGUUAUUUCUGGGACUGAUUUUAAACUUUGGAUAUUAUUUUCUCGCCCAAGCCUUUCAUCGAUUUUGUUCCUGGACCAUGUGUUUCAAAGCCCACGAACUACAGUGCACUGCUUUAGCCCAUCAGAACAACACAAGGAUUUUUACCCAUCCUAUAUCACCACAGCCAUAAUAAAAAGGAAAAAUAAAAAAUAAAAAAAUUCAUACAUAAGAUUUUAAUUAUAACUCAUUUCAAAAUUAAGAUAAACGGUUUGAAAUUUCAAAAAUCAAAUAUUUAUUAAAUUUUAUUUUUCAAGUAAUUAAUUAUAAAUAUAUUUUAUAAAUUAAAUAUAAGGUCACAAUUCUAUACAAUUUGAUGACAAAUAAUUGAAGUUACAAAUAAUUUCUUGGUCACAGUUAAAAUUUGAUAGAUCACAAAUUUAUCAAAUUAUUAGGUCACAUAUCAUUCUUUGGUCACAAAAUCACAAAUUUUAUAAAUCACAACUUAUUUUACGGUGAAAAAAUAUCAAAUUAAUUGCCAAAAAUUAUGUUUAGUCACUAAGUAUCAAAUCAUUGGUCACAAACAAAUAAGUUUUUAGGUCAUACAUUAUUUAUUUAUUACAAUUUAUCUAUUUUAUUCGUCACAUAUUAACCAAUUUAUGGGCCACAAACAAUCAAAUCAUUUUUGAAUACCUCCGUUACUUGUGACCACCAUCUUACCACUGCCACUAGUUGCAUCGUCGUUGAAACCACCAUUGCUAGAAUCACCACCACCUCUCGGCAACAAAACUAUCAUCUCAAACAUCGCAACCAAACACCACCACCACCACCACCACCACUCCACAACCACAACCCCAUAAAAAAAAUUUCCAAAUCUGCUGCAGGGGAACUACUACCAUCGCCUGUAUCAACAAUGACCAUCACCACUGCAUCAACCAUACACAACACCACCACAUUAAUGCCACCGCUACCUCACAAUCUGAAACAGAAAAAAAAACAAACAAAAAAACAAAACACCAUUGAGCAAGUGGCACUAUGAACACCGCUUGACGUUCAGAUUAGAGCUGCACAAUGCCGAUCUGAAUGUGCCGCUACAUACGACGCUCAAAUCAGUGCCGCACAAUGAUGUGACUUCUUUGUGCUUGGCGGCAGGAGAGUGGCGACAUGGCAUGCGGCCAAGAGAAAGACAAAAGAGCAGUGGCUGCGUGACAUGCGAAUAAAAGAAAGACAGGAGAUGAAGAUGACAGAGCAGCUUCAUAACAAAAUGCACGGUUGCACAACAGCACUAGGAGAUUGUCUCUUGCAACAUCGAUCCAUGUGAGGGAAAAAGAGAGAGAAUGGAGAGAUAUAAAGAGAGAAAUGAG